CCUUGCGUGACCGAGUUUCUUCAUGAAGUGGUAAUUUCCCAUUUGCUGACCUCAAUUUUCAGUGCUGAAAUUGAGUAGUAUGACUCCAACAGAAUGGGAAAAUGGCACAGUAGCACAUCUCUCAGGAAACUGUCAGUGUAUGGCAGACUUCACUCACCUGUAAAGAACUGAGCAGAGACAUGACCUCUUCAAGAGUUCUCCUCCUUGCUGAGACACAGGUGGACUCCUUAAAUCAUAUAGGCAUGUGGUUAUUACU
rnacentral:lncRNA from 10 species